UUAAAGGAAUUCGGACGGGGGCCCCGCACAAGGCCGGUGGAGCAUGUUGGUUAAUUCGAAGCAACGCGAAGAACCUUACCAGGUCUUGACAUCCCUGACAACCCAAGAGAUUGGGCGUUCCCCUUCGGGGGACAGGGUGACAGGUGGUGCAUGGUUGUCGUCAGCUCGUGUCGUGAGAUGUUGGGUUAAGUCCCGCAACGAGCGCAACCCUCAUUGUUAGUUACUACCAUUCAGUUGAGGACUCUAAUGAGACUGCCAACGACAAGUUGGAGGAAGGUGGGGAUGACGUCAAAUCAUCAUGCCCUUUAUGACCUGGGCUACAAACGUACUACAAUGGCCAAUACAAAGAGAUGCGAAGCGGUGACGUGGAGCGAACCUCAGAAAGUUGGUCUCAGUUCGGAUUGAAGUCUGCAACUCGACUUCAUGAAGGCGGAAUCGCUAGUAAUCGCGGGUCAGCAGACCGCGGUGAAUACGUUCCCGGGUUUU
rnacentral:rRNA from 1 species